GACGAACGCUGGCGGCGUGCUUAACACAUGCAAGUCGAACGGAAAGGCCCUGCUUGCAGGGUACUCGAGUGGCGAACGGGUGAGUAACACGUGGGUGAUCUGCCCUGCACUUCGGGAUAAGCCUGGGAAACUGGGUCUAAUAGCGGAUAGGAGCCAUUUUUAGUGUGAUGGUUGGAAAGUUUUUUCGGUGUAGGAUGAGCUCGCGGCCUAUCAGCUUGUUGGUGGGGUAAUGGCCUACCAAGGCGGCGACGGGUAGCCGGCCUGAGAGGGUGGACGGCCACAUUGGGACUGAGAUACGGCCCAGACUCCUACGGGAGGCAGCAGUGGGGAAUAUUGCACAAUGGGCGCAAGCCUGAUGCAGCGACGCCGCGUGGGGGAUGACGGCCUUCGGGUUGUAAACUCCUUUCGCUAGGGACGAAGCUUUUUGUGACGGUACCUAGAUAAGAAGCACCGGCUAACUACGUG
rnacentral:rRNA from 1 species